rnacentral:rRNA from 1 species
GAUGAACGCUGGCGGCGUGCCUAAUACAUGCAAGUCGAGCGGACGGACGAGGAGCUUGCGUCUUGGAUGUUAGCGGAGGGGGGGUGAGUAACACGUGGAUAACCUACCUAUAAGACUGGGAUAAUCUGGGGAAAGCGGCGCUAAUCCGGGAGGAUAUUCUGCAGCGCAGGGUGCAAAAGUGAAAGUCGGUGGUGCGGUCACUUAUAGAUGGAUACGCGCUGGAUUUGCUAGUUGGUGAGGUAAAAGCUUAGGAAGGCAACGAUGCAUAAGCGAACGGAGAGAGUGAUAGCCCACCCGGGAGCGGAGACAGGGACAAGGCGCCUACGAGACGCCGCAGAAGGGAACCUGCCGCAAUGGGCGAAAGCCUUACAGAGCAACGCCGCGUGUGUGACGAAGGUCUUCGGAGCGUAAUGAUCUGUUAUGAGGUAAGAACAGAUGUGUAAGUAACUGUGCACAUCUUGACGGUACCGAGUCAGAAAGCCCCGGCUAACUACGUG